UCCCUGGUGGUCUAGUGGCUAGGAUCCGAAAAUCCGGCGCUUUCACCGCCGUGGCCCGGGUUCGAUUCCCGGUCAGGGAA
rfam:Pelecanus crispus contig100685, whole genome shotgun sequence.